CUCAUGUACAAUAAUAUUAAGCUUAUAAUUACAUCGCAUAUACAUGGUAUUACCGUAUCUGUUCGAUGUCACCUAAUCUUCUCUACACACAACACAACAGCCGCCAUGAGUAGGCAAAUCGAACCCCUCUUCUUUGCGUUUAGCGAACACCGAGUUCCAUCUAAAAAUGAUGACCCCUCAAACCCUUGAAUCGUCGUUGCUGCUUUAUAGCACCCAUUCCUUAUUCAAUGUUGCUGCUUCAAUAAAACCCUAGAUAUAUCACCACUAAUCGCAUCUUGAAGUGAACAAAGGUUAGUUAGAGCUCUCAUUUGAGCACUAAAAGGUUCAUAUUUUCUGAUGAUUAUGUUUAUUUUUUUCUAAGGGUUUAGAGGCUUAUGCUUUCUUUUAAUCUAUUAUUCCAUAACUCUCUUUUACUCCAUUGAUUGCAGGUCUUCAACAAGCAGUCGGUUCAUCUAGGUGAUGAAGAACACAAAAAACUGGAUCUGUAUGGGGCAUCUUAACUCUAUUGUCCUUUCUAUUGUCUGCUAUGAUAAAAUCUAGGUAAACUCUCUCUCUCUCUCUCUCUCUCUCUCUCUCUCUCAUAAAUCUUCUCUUUUAUUGCUCAAGGAAUUCCAAGGUAUACGUUUUUCUUACUUUAAACCCGACAAAUUCCUCUGCGAAGACCUAAUCACCAUAAACGAAAAUGGCUUCCUUUGAUUUCGCAGGUUUGAUAUUGUAUUUUUAUUCGAUGGAAUGAGUACUCAUAAUGGAUACCGAUUAUCCUAAUUUUGAUCUUAAAUAAAAAAAAUAGUUACCUAAUUCAUUCAUGUGCCGAUUUGGUUAAAGGAUAUGUUGGGUUUCAAUUAAUUUAUCCGAAAUUUAAAAUAUAUUAUGGUUUAGAUAUUUAAUUAAACAAUAAAAUAGAAUUUCAUUAGAUUAAAUGAUAUAUUAUUCAUUAAAUAGUUAGUGAUUAUGAGGUUGAUAGAUUAUAUUGAUGGUACUAAACAAGUGUUUGAUAAAAUGUCCGUGAACAGGGGAUGGUGAAAAGUUCACUCCUGCAAUGGGUUGGGAACUUAAUGUUGAUGAUGGUUUGAAGUUGCAGGGGCUCUUUUGGUGGAUAAAUAGCUCGAUUAAUUAGAAGUAGUUGGAAUUGCAUUCCUUUUUUGACAUCUUCUUUGAGAUCUAAAAUUGAUAUAUGUAAAACAUAUUGAAUUAUUAUAGUGAUUACUUUCUGUUAAUUUUUUUUACAGGAAAUGAUUGUGGUUCAUAGAAAAGGGACUUGCAGAUGUCUUUUGCGUUCUCUUUGUUGAGCGAAAUCCUUAAACUGAAAGUCCAAGUGAGGACGAAGGUAUACAUUUUUACUCCAAUUGUCAAGUUUAUAAGAAAUUACAUAUAUUUUUAUCAAAGUUCAUUUCUAUUAUUUCAUUGGAUAAGAGUUUCAUAAGGAGAUGGAAACCAAACUGAUCCUUUGCCUAUUUGUUGAAGGAAAAACAUCGGCAACUCACCAUCUCUCAAAAGUUGGUAUGUUUCACUUACCCUCUCCAUAAAAACAAAACUAACAUUACUUUCUUUCUUGGUAAUUACGAGUUCUUGAUUCUAAUUGCAUUUUAUUCUAUUUAUUGUUGUUAAUCCCCCAAAGCAACUUCAGAUUUUUGUUUCAAAAUCCUCCUUUCUUAGAAGGAUCAAAAAACGAAAUUGUUUCAGGAUCCUAAAGUUUCUUUGCAAUGUUAAAGUGGAUGAAUAAUGAUGUUUGAUUGGUUACUUCCUCUAUGCAGGUUUGUAUAUCUUGGAGGUAUUAUUUCGAUUUAAAGCCUUCAAUACAAGUUGUUAACAAAAGAAUUUGCACUCUCAUAUCAUAUAACUUAUCAACGACGACCAUCUAACGUGUCAGGCUAUUCACAUGUUUUUUCUUAUAUGUUCGUUCUUAGUUGGUACAUCAUGUUGAAAUAAAAGGAAAAAACAAUAAAUUAUUGAUUUUUAAUUUUUGUCAUAUGAUGUUUACCCAAUAGUCUUUCACAAGAAGAUGAAUUCAAUUUUAAUUCUCAAAGGAGCCUCAAUAAAAGUUAUUAAAAAUAAGUAUUUUAUAAUUGGAUCUCUAUUUAUCUCUCCAUAUUUGUAAAGAUUAAUGAAGUAUUGACAAGUUACUACAAUGGAGUAUGAAUCACUAAUUGCUAGGUCCAAUAAAAUAUUUGUUAAAUGAAAAUCCCUUUUGAUUGUUAUUGAGUAGUAAUUUGAUGUUAAUAAAUUAUCUUUUUUCUUUUGCUAAAUUUUUUCUUAUCAACAUAUUGUGCUCUUAAAAAUCAACUCAAUUGAGCAAUGGAGCAAGGUGGGACAGUGUAGAUGGAGUUUAAAACAAAGGCGGCACAUUCAUGUAUUGGAUUUCCAAAUUAUGUUAAUUUCUAAUUUGUAACAAUGUUCCUAUUUAGGUGUUUUGUAAUUAGGACCAAAUGUUAAUUGCGGUGCAUUUUUCUUUUGUUUAUUAUAGCCUCAAAUUUUUUGGAUUCAUUUAAAUUUUUUAACAUAAAUAUAUUAAUUCCUAUUUAGGUGUUCUGUAGAACCAAAUGGGAAUUGUAAUGUAUUUUUCUUUUGUUUAUUAUAGUCUCAAUUUUUUGGAUUCAUUUUAAUUUUAUAGCAUCGUAUUAUUGUUCGUUUUA
rnacentral:lncRNA from 1 species